rnacentral:rRNA from 1 species
GAUGAACGCUGGCGGCGUGCCUAAUACAUGCAAGUCGAGCGAACAGACGAGGCGCUUGCUCCUCCCACCCUCGCGCCGCCCCCCCCCCUCCCCCCCGCCCACCCUCCCUAUCCGACCCCCCUCACUUCCGGACCCCCCAGCUCAUACCGGCUCAUCUCUCGCACCGCAUGGUUCACUAGCGCAACACGCUUUUGCUGUCCCUUCUCGCUGCAUCCGCGCCGCAUUAGCUAGUUGGUAAGGUAACGGCUUACCAAGGCGACGAUGCGUAGCCGACCUGAGAGGGUGAUCGGCCACACUGGAACUGAGACACGGUCCAGACUCCUACGGGAGGCAGCAGUAGGGAAUCUUCCGCAAUGGGCGAAAGCCUGACGGAGCAACGCCGCGUGAGUGAUGAAGGUCUUCGGAUCGUAAAACUCUGUUAUUAGGGAAGAACAAAUGUGUAAGUAACUAUGCACGUCUUGACGGUACCUAAUCAGAAAGCCACGGCUAACUACGUG